GGUCUCGUUGUUGUUUUAGCUGGCCUGGGCUACGUUUGAACCCGCCAGCCUGGGUGUACUCACUGAGCUACGGGCGCCACCCUAUCAGGGGCAUUUAAAGUGUGCAGAAAAGCUGUACUGUCUCGUCAGCUCGUAUUUGAGACAAACAACCCUCACACUCGGCUGGUGCUGCUGUUCUGUGCCUAGUACUGUCCUGCAGAUGUUGCAGUCACAUAAAAACUGCAGGAACUACACUGUAUUUACCUUCUCAUCGACCAUCACCUUUAUUAGUGAAAUCAUAGCCAUUCUAGAAAAGCCAGGCUGUAUGGUUGCUGGAGUUAAUAAUGUCCUCACUUCACACCUGACAAGGUAGGUCUUCUUUUUUUGGUCUC